UACAGAGGUGGCAAGCGUUGUUCGGAAUUACUGGGCGUAAAGGGCGCGUAGGCGGUUCGUUAAGUCCUGUGUGAAAUCCCCCGGCUCAACUGGGGAACUGCACAGGAAACUAGCGGGCUUGAGUUCGGGAGAGGGAAGCGGAAUUCCGGGUGUAGCGGUGAAAUGCGUAGAUAUCCGGAGGAACACCCAUUGCGAAGGCAGCUCGCUGGGACGUUACUGACGCUGAGACGCGAAAGCGUGGGGAGCAAACAGGG
rnacentral:rRNA from 1 species